rnacentral:sRNA from 1 species
UUCUUCAUCUUCCUUAUCUGUUUCUCCCGCUCUCUCUCUCUCUCUCUCUCUCUCUCUCUCUCUUCGUGUCUGCG